rnacentral:SRP_RNA from 1 species
GGACCCUGCGCAAGGGUGAGCCGUGAAUCUUGUCAGGUCCGAGAGGAAGCAGCAAUAAGCGGUCCUUACCCUGUGCCGCAG